rnacentral:tRNA from 1 species
GGUACGAUAGCUUAACUGGUAUAGCUAUUGUGACGUGAUAUCCUAAACGUCGUAGGUUCGAAUCCUGCUCGUCUCA